rnacentral:rRNA from 1 species
GGGAUUAGCUAGUAGGUGGGGUAAUGGCUCACCUAGGCGACGAUCCCUAGCUGGUCUGAGAGGAUGACCAGCCACACUGGAACUGAGACACGGUCCAGACUCCUACGGGAGGCAGCAGUGGGGAAUAUUGCACAAUGGGCGCAAGCCUGAUGCAGCCAUGCCGCGUGUGUGAAGAAGGCCUUCGGGUUGUAAAGCACUUUCAGCGAGGAGGAAGGGUACAGUGUUAAUAGCACUGUGCAUUGACGUUACUCGCAGAAGAAGCACCGGCUAACUCCGUGCCAGCAGCCGCGGUAAUACGGAGGGUGCAAGCGUUAAUCGGAAUUACUGGGCGUAAAGCGCACGCAGGCGGUUUGUUAAGUCAGAUGUGAAAUCCCCGCGCUUAACGUGGGAACUGCAUUUGAAACUGGCAAGCUAGAGUCUUGUAGAGGGGGGUAGAAUUCCAGGUGUAGCGGUGAAAUGCGUAGAGAUCUGGAGGAAUACCGGUGGCGAAGGCGGCCCCCUGGACAAAGACUGACGCUCAGGUGCGAA